rnacentral:rRNA from 1 species
UGCCAGCCGCCGCGGUAACACGGGGGGCGCAAGCGUUAUUCGGAAUUACUGGGCGUAAAGGGUGCGCAGGCGGCGUCGCCAGUCAGGUGUGAAAUCCCCGGGCUCAACCCGGGAACUGCACUUGAUACUGCGAUGCUAGAGUUCGGAAGAGGGUAGUGGAAUUCCCAGUGUAGAGGUGAAAUUCGUAGAUAUUGGGAAGAACACCAGUGGCGAAGGCGGCUCUCUGGUCCAUACCUGACGCUGAGGCGCGAAAGCGUGGGGAGCAAACAGGAUUAGAUA